rnacentral:rRNA from 1 species
UACGUGGGCAGCGAGCGUUGUUCGGAGUUACUGGGCGUAAAGAGUGCGUAGGCGGUUUUCUAAGUUUGGUGUGAAAUCUCCCGGCUCAACUGGGAGGGUGCGCCGAAGACUGGAAGGCUUGAGUAUGGGAGAGGUAAGCGGAAUUCCUGGUGUAGCGGUGAAAUGCGCAGAUAUCAGGAAGAACACCCGUGGCGAAGGCGGUUCUCUGGACGGUACUGGAC